UCUGCAAACUAUUAGUCCUAGAGAAAAAGUGACUAGAACCUUUUUUGGCAGGGAAGUGAAUGCAGGUUAAUUUUGUAUUGGGGAAGAAUUUCCCCAGGAUCCGUUGUUUUUGAGUCAUUCAAGAACAAAAAUAAAAAAUUACCUUUAAACCUACCCCCACACCAAUGCUCACACUCCACAGGUCAGGGUUUUUAGUACAAUGUUUGUGACAAUAUAUCCUAGAACUGUGUAAAACUUUGUGACUACGUGACUUUUCCCCUAAUUUUCCUUCAUUGACUGGACUAAAUGUUAGUGUUUGGAACUGACACAGAUAGUGAAGGGCUUCAUCAUCAAAGGCAUUUAGCGACAGCUGUAAACAGAAUGGCAGAAGAACCUUUUGAGAGGACGGAAAAGAAACCCGAGCCUGUCAGCAUUACCUCCCCUGAAAUGUAAGAAACUGGUGGAUUCCAAGACAAAAUUGUGGAAAAUGGAGACAUCUUCAAAUAACAGAAAGAAAUAAAGGCUGAAGAGGCAGGAUCACAGAUGUCAGAUGAAAGUUACCGCAAAAAAGGUUAAGUUGGAAAAGAGUGAAAAUGAAAAUGGAUGCUUGUGCAGUGACUGAAGUUGAAGUCAUAAAUUGAGGAUGAUGAAGCUACACGAAAAAGCUCUCAGCUCUACAGUCCGAGUCUGACCGACUUGUCCGACGAGCCACUGUCGGCGGCACUGCGAUCGCAGGCCCCUCACGGUGUGCGCUUACUCAGGCAAGUGUCGCGGGGAUUUGUUAAUGUAGAGGCUGACUGUACGCUGUAGGUGUCUGCAGACUUCCAUCAUUAGAGGAACAGUUCUAUGAACAGUACAUGCCAUUCUUGGGAGUGUGGACCACUUCGUUGGUUACUCGAGUUCCUCAUCUGACCCCAGAACUGUCAUUUACUGCAGCUAGGCAUUUAGCACUAAUAAAAUGUGAGUUACAUAAAAUGGAAGUGUCCGACAUAUCAGCAGCCGUGAAGAUAUGAAAAUUUAAAGGUAUCUCCAUUUUGAGCAGUACAAACUUUAGAAUUAUUAUUCUAAUUUGUUAAUCCUGUG
rnacentral:lncRNA from 1 species